CUUUCAGAUUUUUGGUCUCGGUGGCUUGGUGACUUUGUGAUUUUUAAGAUUGGUGGGCUGGUGGCUUUGAGGUUUUAUCAAUGCGAUGUGUUGCACUAUCCUGAGCAUUAUGGUAUAAAUUCCUAUGCUGAGCCCGUUGCACUAUCCCGAGCGCUAUGGCUAAAACUGUACUUGGAUAUUUAAGAGAACCAAGACAAUUAUAUAAGAGAACCAAGGCAACAAUAAAUUCUUCUUCAAGUUGUUGGGUACUAUUUUCUUUCUUGUUUGUCAUAAUUAUGUACAGUGAGGAUUUGAUGUAUAAUUUACAUUGA